UAGGGAAUCUUCGGCAAUGGGGGGAACCCUGACCGAGCAACGCCGCGUGAGUGAAGAAGGUUUUCGGAUCGUAAAGCUCUGUUGUAAGAGAAGAACGAGUGUGAGAGUGGAAAGUUCACACUGUGACGGUAUCUUACCAGAAAGGGACGGCUAACUACGUGCCAGCAGCCGCGGUAAUACGUAGGUCCCGAGCGUUAUCCGGAUUUAUUGGGCGUAAAGCGAGCGCAGGCGGUUAGAUAAGUCUGAAGUUAAAGGCUGUGGCUUAACCAUAGUACGCUUUGGAAACUGUUUAACUUGAGUGCAGAAGGGGAGAGUGGAAUUCCAUGUGUAGCGGUGAAAUGCGUAGAUAUAUGGAGGAACACCGGUGGCGAAAGCGGCUCUCUGGUCUGUAACUGACGCUGAGGCUCGAAAGCGUGGGGAGCAAACAGGAUUAGAUACCCUGGUAGUCCACGCCGUAAACGAUGAGUGCUAGGUGUUGGGUCCUUUCCGGGACUCAGUGCCGCAGCUAACGCAUUAAGCACUCCGCCUGGGGAGUACGACCGCAAGGUUG
rnacentral:rRNA from 1 species